rnacentral:lncRNA from 1 species
UUUUUUUUUUUCUUUUUUUUUUGUCUUUUUGCCAUUUCUUGGGCCGCUCCCACGGCAUAUGGAGGUUCCCAGGCUAGGGGUCUAAUCAGAGCUGUAGCCGCUGGUCUAAGCCAGAGCCACAGCAAUGCAGGAUCCAAGCUGCGUCUGCAACCUACACCACAGCUCACAGCAACACCGGAUCCUUAACCCACUGAGCAAGGCCAGGGAUCAAACCCGCAACCUCAUGGUUCCUAGUCAGAUUCAUUAACCACUGAGCCACGGGAACUCCUUGAUUGACUGCUUUCUUCUGGGCUUUGCAUAUCCAUUUCCUGCCUUCGACUCAUCCAUGAUUAUAUUACGUAAUCCUCUAGUAAUCCCCUGGAGACUUGAAUACGUGUAGUAAUUCCUCAUCACUGUUCUUUUGAGCCCAAAUUUGGGCUGAGCACAGACUCGGAAUAAAUCUUUGGCAUCAUCCUCCUUUCAUAGUCUCCACGUCUAAUUCCGGAAUCUUCAUUUUACUCAUAAGUUAUAAUUACACUAGGACAUAAGAGCUUAACGAAAAUGAAUCCAGGAGCUCUUAGGCCCCACUUGGAUUAUUUUAAGAGUCAAGACUUGUUUUCCCUCAGCCGAAGUAAAGAAAUUUACCCUUUGAACAAGAUAGGCAGAAAAAUCAGGUUGUGCUGGGGUUACCUGGCCAGAAGGCAGUUACAGAUUUCAUUACAAAUCCCAGAAGGAAAAACUUUCCUUAGCAGAGCCAACUGUAGCCCCAGAUCGUCAUGGGAGGCCAAUCCUUCCAGGUGGGACCCCUGCAGGCAGGGUGGAGUCAGGAUUGGCCCUCCCUCUGCAGCCCCCUCCUCCCUCUCCAACAUGCAUCAUCCCCCCUAAGGCAGAGGUGACAUUCAAGUCCUGGGUGUGGACACAUCCAUGGGUUUUGGAAGCCUGGGGGAGAUGGAAAGAGUGCCAGAGAUGGAACGAACACUCUGGUGUUCCUAGACCAGCAUCAAAUCAUGCAGAGAGAUUAUACACUCUCACAGAGAGCCCGCUUUCUUCUUAAUCAAAAACAUGCUGGUGGGACAUAGAUGCGUCAUGGGCUGUUCCCCGCCCUACUUGCUCUGGGAAACCUUGUGCAGGCACGAGAGCUUUACCAGCGAAAACUGGGUCCUUCCUCUCGCUGGGUACCUGAUCAUCACCUUACUCCUCCCCACCACUCCCUGACCAGCUACUGCCCCAGGCUGGUGGGUGACACAGGCUACGUUGGACUGAACACUCAUUACCUGCCCUCCAGCAUGCCCGGCUUUAUCUCAUUCCAUCUUCUCAGCAGUUCAGCACACAGACGACAUCUGAUUCACGUUUUAAGGGCUAUGUUUGAGGUAGCGCAUGUUUAUGUAACUGCUAGGGGUCUCACAGGUAGAAGGGUCAUCUAUAGGUGCCACUCCCUCUGGAGAAACACUACUCUUUUUUUUUUUUCUUUCUUUCUUUUUUUCUUUUUUUAAGUUGCACCCAUGGCAUAUAUAAAUUCCCAAGCCAGGGAUCAAAUCAGAGCCACAGCUAUAGCAACACUGGAUCCCUAACCCACUGUGCCAAGCUAGGGGUCAAACCUACACCUCCAUAGCCACCCAAGCUGCUACAGUCAGAUCCUUAACCCUCUGUGCCACAGCAGGAAUUCCAAGAAAUGCUAUUCUUAAUCUCCAAGGCUCACUGCCUAAUUUGGUCUCUGAAAAGUAGAACACUAAAUAUUCAAUGGAUAUUGGUGAAAUCUGAAAAUCUUUCACCCACACUGUACAGACAAAAUGAUACUAAAAAGUACAGAGGAUUAACCCACUGGAAAAUUACAUUGCUCAUUCUCUUUUCAGAUGGUCAACUGGAGAUGUAAAUGGAACAGAAAACGCCGCAGUAGUGGGACUUUCAUCUUCAUCUCUCCAAACACCACUAUGAAUGCACUUAUUCAACAUAUCAGUUUUCAUUCAUUCAUUCAGUUGUACAAUAAACAUUCACAGAGCACCUAUCAUAUGCUGGCACUGGGGACACACAAGGAGACAUGAAGACAAAGAGGUUUUCAUGGGUUCUGCAUUCCUGUUACAGAGAUGGCAGGACAUAGCUAAGCAUGUAAUGUUGGAUCGUGGCUGCUGAGGAAAAGGAGAAACCGCUUCUGUCUCUCUGAGGAGAUGCUCCUGGAACAGAGACCUGUAGGGAAGGAGGGAGGGAGGGAAGGAGGAAGCCAUGGAGGCAUUGGAGGGAGGGCAUGCCAGGCCCGGUGAUGCAAGUGUGAGGCCCUGAAGUGAAGACAAGCUUGGAGUUUUCCUGUGGAGUUUUCAGUUCCAUUUAUGUCCCCAGUUUUGCCAUCUUAAAAGAGGAUGAUCAAUACAGCUUUUCAGUAGGUUAAUCUUUCCACUGGGAGGCCCUGAGGUGGAGGCAUGAGAGGAAGAGGGCAGGGGCCAGCGUGACUGGUACAGGCAAGCAAUGCCUCCAGUACUGGGAGCUGAGGUCGGGGGUAGCUGGGAGCUACAUGUUCUGGGGGCCGUGGGAGGACUUUUUGAGUGAGGAACUCACGUGAUGGGAUUUAUGUUUGGAAAGUACCCCUCUGGGUGGCAUUUAAGAACUUACUGUCUUGGAGGCCACGGUGGAGGCCUGGAGACCCUUCAGGUGGGGUGAUGGGGUCCUGGACCUCAAAGGGAACAGCAGAUGUAGUUAAACAAAGUCUGAUGAAGAAUACACUUUGAAAGAAGAGCAGGUGAAAACUGCUGGUGGAACAGACCUAUCAGGAACCUUCCGAAACAGAGACCAUAGAAUGCCAGUCGAUUUCUAGAAAUUGCUAGUAAAAUCCCAGCCACCAUUUCCCACAAGUCAGGCAGGAACUGUGUUCAGCACUUUCCAUGUGUUGGCAUAUGUAAUCCUGAUGGCACUGACAGGCAAGCAGCAGUGCUAUCUCCACCUGCCACUGGGUAAAGAACAGAGUGAGCACCCCCUCAGCUCCCUGACCUGCCACCUUGGCUCAGCUCGGUUCCUGCCUCCCAAGCUCCCUGCAAAUCUGGGGUGUGGAGGAGGACUUCUUGGCCGAACAUGGAGACUGUCUCAUUGACUUCUUUUUCCAAGAUGAAAACCUCUAGGGGGGUCCCACUUUAUCUUAAAACAUAUGUUUAUCUUGGCAGCUGGAGCUCUGUGGCAAAGGAAAAGCUAUGAGAAGCCUGUAAGGCUGGCCCCAGGGGCUCCCACCGGCCCCCUAACCCUGCCUCUCUGGGAACCCUUCCAUGUAACCAGCAGCUCAGCCAAGGUAGAGAGAAGCGGGCCACCAGCUACCUCUGCUCCCUCCCCCAAAUGCCCCCCCCCCCGCCACUGUGGCAGCCCCUGCACAGCUGUUUGGUCCUGUCUGAUUCUAUAACUAUGGGGUAUAGGAGACAAUAGAAAAUAUCUGGAAUGUUAUGAAACCGAACAGGAGAAAAGCAGUGGGAACUUGAGAAUGGAUGCAUUCAGCUGAAUUGGCUUUGCAAAAACUGAAACCACUAAUCAUUGUCCUGGAGCCAAACUCUGAAAUGGCGUGGGAAACGGGAAAGGAGGCCCACACCAUACAGGCAGCACCUUUUGGUGAUUUGAGACCCCAAGAGACAGGAGGCCAGAAGAUCCUGGGGGUGGAGGGGAGACACGGAAGGGAGAAUCGACAUGUGGGGACAUGCAGUGACAUGACCAAAAUUCUAUCUGCCAGAAGAGCCAGGUUUGGAGGCUGCAGGAAGGCAGCGGUGCUGAUGGCAGGGCUGAGGGUCCAUGGUGCUGCCUCCCCAGUUACUUAACCCAGCUUCCCCAAGCUCUCAGGUUAAAUUUCCCUUGCCCCCUGUGACAUUCCACGCAUACACAACAGAGCUAGGAGAAUUAAGUUCUGCUGCCGCCAAGGCUUAGAUCAGUGGUUCUCAAACUUGAGUGCACAUAGGGAUCUCUUGAGAGCUGAUGACCACAGAUUGCACAGAGAUGCUGAUGAUGCAGAAGGGCUUGGAUGGGGCUGAGGGUGUGCCUUUCUGGCGUGGUCCCGGGCAGUGCUGAUGCAGUGGUCUGUGACCAUCCCUGGAGAACCAAUGGCUUCGAGCAUCUCUUUUACUGAAUGGCACCACCAAAGACUUCCAGAGUCCUCUUCUGCACCUGCUGGGCAGGGGGCACUGAAACAAGACCACCAGGGCCAGCAGCGAUGGAGCAUUUACCCUGCCUCCUGGGCCCUUGACCUGCAAUAAAUGCCUCACUUCCUUUCUACAACCAUUGUACAGACAAGGAAACAGAAAUAAAAGGACAAGCAAAUUGCUCAGAGUUCUGCUGUAAGUGGCAGAGCGGGGAUCUGAACUAGGCAGGGGAAACCAGAGGCUGUGCUUAGAAUCUACACUCCCUCCACCUCUCUUAACAAGCCACAUCAAGUUCAUGGCAAAUCUGAUGAGGUGGUGGAAUAUGUAUGGCAAGUCUGAUUCCUUGGAUGGCAGUUGAUAUCCUAAUGAUCACAAAUGUCCCCAGUCCCCAGUGACUGACUCAGUUACCAUGCCUAACAUGGAGGGUCAGCCGUCAAAGCUCUACAGGCUCAAACCAAGGGAACACAGAAAGUAACUCUGAAACCCACAUCAUUGAGGCUUUUGGACAAAAGUCAGUAUUUAAGCUAUUUACACAAGAAAUAACAAAAUGACCAUAAACCCUGAGAGAGCUACUACAGUCACGUCACCGUGUCUUUGUUUUGGUGAACAAACCUUACCAAGAAAAUCAAGGAUGCCAGUCACAAUCACAUAAGGCAGAAGUCCUCCACACAUGGUCCUGAGACCGAGCAUCAGCACCAUGCAGCCUUCCCCAGUCCCAUCAAGCCCCUGCCCUUGGGGGGGACUACCCAUCUGCAUCCUUAGAUGGCUUCCCCAGGUGAUUCUGAUGUCUGGUCAUCUAAGAAGCCUGUUUACUUAGUCCCAUAAAGUUUAUAUGGGCCCUCUUUAAAUCUUUACUAUAUAAAAAAUACCAACUGCCUGUCCAUGGCCCAUCUCCUUCCCCAAGAACUGAGCCAAACCUGCUCUGUCAGGAGGGAACUCAGUGGUUGGAUGCCUGGAUCCCAGCUCCAAAUCCUUUCUUUCUUCUGCAGACAACAAGGAAUAAGCUCACUUCAGUGGCUCAUGUUACCACCAGAUUCAGAUUUAAACUUGUGCAGAAGGCACAACGUCUGGUUUACAUGUGAAGAAACUGAGGCGGUUUCUUAUCUAAAGUUACUUAUCUAAAGUUGCACAGUGAGCCAAUGUGUGGCGAUCUGACACCCACCUUAUGCUUGUGCCUGAAGGGGUUAGAUGACGCCAGGGUUCAGUCACGGAGGACUUGGUGGGCGAUGCAGGGAGACUGACUCACAAGGUUCCAGCAUAGAACCUGUCAGGUGGGAGGCCCUCAGUGGACACCUGGCCCCUCUGCCUGCUGUAUUUGCUUCCAUCUGGAUAGCCUUCACUCCUGGCUGCUGCUAAAGCCCUACCCUGUACCCUUUCCAGGAGACCCACACACCGACAGGGGAGAGGUGGUUGGGAAUAAUGUCCUGCGACCACUGGAAGGAAGCAGAGACAAGAAGUACAGAGCAGUCACCAUGCAUUAUGCUCCCCACAGGCAUCUCCCCAGAGUAGGCUGUUACUAUCUCAUACAAGCAGGGAAACUGAGACCUGCUGAGUUUAUUAAGUGACAUGUCCAAGGUCAAGGAAGUGACAGCAUGAGGACUCAAAACCAGGUCUAACUAUAGCUGAGAAGUGGUCCUGCAGGGAAAACAAAGGUGGAGUGGGCCCAGGGGACACCCCGCUUGCUUCCACUAUGGGACAGCUGUCACUGGGGACCGUUCCUGUGCUCUUAGAGAUUCUUACUGACAGCAAAGUUAACCUCUGCACUUUUAGACACACUGGGCUGCCACAGGCAUUAUAGGUGGAGAGUACAAUUUCCAAAGGUCACACUCUCAGCAGAGUCUCAGGCCACUCAAGCUAAAACUUGAAGUCCUGCCUAUCAAUUUCCUAUCCCCAUUCUCUGCUUUGUUUUUCCACUUUAUCUCUUUAUUCCUAAUCCAGGGUUUACUUACAGAUAGUACUUAUCCAUCCCCUCCACUAAAAUGUCAACUCCUCAACAACAAGGAGAUUUCUUUUGUACCUGAAGUAUGCCCAGGGCUAGAGCACACUGCCUGGCACAUAGUAGGUACUCGAAGAAUACUUACAAGUAAGAAUGCUAGAAAAGCAAGCUGCCCACUAUUCUGAAAAGAAUAUGCAUGUUAAAGAUGGGAAAUUUUACCUCUUCCAUUCCAAUUUGGAUACCAUUUAUUUCUUUUUCUUGUCUGAUUGCUGUGGCUAGGACUUCUAAUACUAUGUUGAAUAGAACUGUCCAUCGAUUAAGAAGAUGUGGCAUGGAGUUCCCAUCAUGGCUCAGCAGUUAACAAAUCUGACUAGCAUCCAUGAGGAUGCAGGUUUGAUCCCUGGCCUUGCUCAGUGGGUUAAGGAUCUGGAACCACCGUGAGCUGUGGUGUAGGUCACAGAUGCAGCUCAGAUCCCGCAUUGCUGUGGCUGUGGUGUAGGCCAGCAGCUACAGCUCCGAUUCAGCCCCUAGCCUGAGAAUCUCUGUAUGCCAUGAAUGCGACCC